GUGGGUAGUUUGACUGGGGCGGUCUCCUCCUAAAGAGUAACGGAGGAGCACGAAGGUUGGCUAAUCCUGGUCGGACAUCAGGAGGUUAGUGCAAUGGCAUAAGCCAGCUUGACUGCGAGCGUGACGGCGCGAGCAGGUGCGAAAGCAGGUCAUAGUGAUCCGGUGGUUCUGAAUGGAAGGGCCAUCGCUCAACGGAUAAAAGGUACUCCGGGGAUAACAGGCUGAUACCGCCCAAGAGUUCAUAUCGACGGCGGUGUUUGGCACCUCGAUGUCGGCUCAUCACAUCCUGGGGCUGAAGUAGGUCCCAAGGGUAUGGCUGUUCGCCAUUUAAAGUGGUACGCGAGCUGGGUUUAGAACGUCGUGAGACAGUUCGGUCCCUAUCUGCCGUGGGCGCUGGAGAACUGAGGGGGGCUGCUCCUAGUACGAGAGGACCGGAGUGGACGCAUCACUGGUGUUCGGGUUGUCAUGCCAAUGGCACUGCCCGGUAGCUAAAUGCGGAAGAGAUAAGUGCUGAAAGCAUCUAAGCACGAAACUUGCCCCGAGAUGAGUUCUCCCUGAGACUUAAAGUCUCCUGAAGGAACGUUGAAGACGACGACGUUGAUAGGCCGGGUGUGUAAG
rnacentral:rRNA from 3 species